AUUUUACUGGUAGAAAAUUACAACUGUUUUAGUUUGAGGGUUCAUUUUUUAAAAAAAUUUGGCGAGUUGGGACUUUAAUUCUGUGCGCUGCUAUUACUUCUGCUGGCUCUACACAUUCAGGAGAGAGUCUAGAAACGAGUGGCAAUAACAUUUUUCUUUACCUAAAAGAACAGGACUGGUACAUUUGGGAUAGGGAAAACCAGAAGAUAUACCUAAUUUUUUUAACAAACGUCAAACCUUUAAGAAUAGAAUUCUCUGCAGACGUUGGUAUUAAUUACAAAUUAGCGGUCUCGACGCUCAGAACCGUGUACUCCAUCGUUUCGGUAUUAUCGCAAUUAAUUAAAUAAUUUGAUGCAGGUUGUUUAAUGAAUUCAAAAAUUUAAACUUUGUCCAACACACACUAUAGCACAUUAAACACAUUUCAGAAUUUAAU